rnacentral:rRNA from 1 species
GAUGAACGCUGGCGGCGUGCCUAAUACAUGCAAGUCGAGCGAACGGACGAGAAGCUUGCUUCUCUGAUGUUAGCGGCGGACGGGGGAGUAACACGUGGAUAACCUACCUAUAAGACUGGGAUAACUUCGGGAAACCGGAGCUAAUACCGGAUAAUAUCUUGAACCGCAUGGUUCAAAAGUGAAAGACGGUGUUGCUGUCACUUAUAGAUGGAUCCGCGCUGCAUUAGCUAGUUGGUAAGGUAACGGCUUACCAAGGCAACGAUGCAUAGCCGACCUGAGAGGGGGAUCGGCCACCCUGGAACGGGGACACGGCCCAGCUCCCUACGGGAGGAAGCAGAAGGGAAUCUUCGGCAAUGGGCGAAAGCCUGCCGGAGCAACGCCGCGUGAGUGAUGAAGGUCUUCGGAUCGUAAAACUCUGUUAUUAGGGAAGAACAUAUGUGUAAGUAACUGUGCACAUCUUGACGGUACCUAAUCAGAAAGCCACGGCUAACUACGUG